UAAAAAGUUGUCACUGGAAGACAAAAUGGUGGCAGAAUAGAUGGACGUCCCAAACCUUGUCCAGGAGCAGAUAGAAUGAG